rnacentral:tRNA from 1 species
GCCUGGGUGGCUCAGUUGGUGAAGCAUCUGACUUCGGCUCAGGUCACAAUCUCAUGGCUUGAGAGUUUGAGCCCCAUGAGUUCGAGCCCCAUGUCGGGCU